rnacentral:lncRNA from 1 species
UCAUUUCCUUCCUGGAAAAGCAUUUUGUGCUGCAGGUGAAGGUUUGGAAGCCGCCAGAACCCGUGAGUGCCUUUUUGUAGCGCAGAAAUAACCUGAGUUUGUUUCUGCCAGGGCGCGAUCCCUGCUCAGUUCAUAAAUGCGGGAAAAACGGAUUUAACGCGAUAAAUUUGAGUUUGUGUUGUCGUGCAGUACCUCAGGGUGAUGCCAGCGGGGGGACACUGCUAUGAGGAUGGUCCCUUCUUCCCCAGCAUUCCCAGAUUUGUUGUCCAGGUGGGAAUUGCCAGGAGAAGGGAGCUGCUGCUCAGCCCUGACUGGGCAGCGAUCGCUGCGGUGAGCUCUGGGCUCCUCUUGCUGCUGGCGGCCUCCCUGGCGUUGGCACUCCUGUGCCGGGGCCAGGGCUGGGCACGGAGGGGCAGCCCCAGCCCCCGGUUCCGCAGGCAGCAGCUCAAGCACAACCUGCAGGGAUAUUCCUCCAAAAUUCCAGCUGUGUUUUCCAUGGAAAAGCCUCACCCCUCUCUGCAGCCCCAGGCUGGGCACUCCCACAGCGCUGCUGGCACAGGCUGUUUCCUGAGGAGGGGGAAUGCCUGGGAGCCUGAAGGACAAAUAGACCUCGACUCUUUUAACACCAAAGUUUUCUUUGAGCUGCUGCUGAGGCAGUCCCAGUCUGUCACCACCACGCUGGGGCACUUCAAAGAAGAGGGUAAUGAGUGAAAUAUCCUCGCUGAAAAACCUCUGGAUAAAGGCUCUGAGCAGCCCAGGAAAGGAGGAGGAUGAAGAGAGCACAGUGGCAAAACAGCAGGUAGAGCUCAGCUCUGCAAGAGUUAAAAAUGGAAUAAAU